rnacentral:tRNA from 1 species
GGAGGCGUCGCAUAGCGGUCUAGUGCACCGCCUUGGAAAGGCGGCGUAGGGCAACCUACCGUGAGUUCGAAUCUCACCGCCUCCG